rnacentral:tRNA from 2 species
GCUCCCAUCGUCUAACGGUUAGGACGCGGCCCUCUCAAGGCCGUAAUACGGGUUCGAUUCCCGUUGGGAGCGCCA